rnacentral:rRNA from 1 species
GAGUUUGAUCUUGGCUCAGAUUGAACGCUGGCGGCAGGCCUAACACAUGCAAGUCGAACGGUAACAGGAAGAAGCUUGCUUCUUUGCUGACGAGUGGCGGACGGGUGAGUAAUGUCUGGGAAACUGCCUGAUGGAGGGGGAUAACUACUGGAAACGGUAGCUAAUACCGCAUAACGUCGCAAGACCAAAGAGGGGGACCUUCGGGCCUCUUGCCAUCGGAUGUGCCCAGAUGGGAUUAGCUAGUAGGUGGGGUAACGGCUCACCUAGGCGACGAUCCCUAGCUGGUCUGAGAGGAUGACCAGCCACACUGGAACUGAGACACGGUCCAGACUCCUACGGGAGGCAGCAGUGGGGAAUAUUGCACAAUGGGCGCAAGCCUGAUGCAGCCAUGCCGCGUGUAUGAAGAAGGCCUCGG